UGUUGUUUCAAAAGAUUGCUGUUUGAAGUCUUGUCCAGCAUGUAAGGAGCUCAGAAGUUAUCACUCCCAUUCUCACACAAGAAAAAGUCUGACCAAACUGUAAAUCAACAACUCUUUCCAUAUCCACCAGGAAAUUGAAGUCACUGAUUCCCCGCAAAAUUGAAAAGACAGACAGGUAGAUACAUAGAAUCAGAACUCAAUGAAGCAGAAGCCAGGAAACAGAAGUCUCCAUGGGAACCAGUACUGAAGAAAGAAAUUCUAAAAUGUAAUUGACAAAUUGCUGGAGGCUCAGUGUGGACAAAUCUGAGAGUUAAAAACUCUGGGAGCACCCUGUGACCCGCCCCCAGCACAAGCUUCACCCUGGGACAGAGCCACCAGCCAUUCAUCCCGCAGAAGACCAGGCACAGCAAAGCUGCAGCCACAGCUCACAGCUAUCCCAGGAUGGGAUCCUCUGAGAGUGCAGGCAGAACUGUGUUUGUCAAGGGGUUUGAAGGUGAGGUUCCAGAAACCAUCUGUGAAAAUUAGAUACCUACGUGGAUCUGGAUACAAAUGCUACUGCUGGUGAGAACAGAGCUAUGGCAUGCCUAUUUCACAGUCUCUGACUUAGCCCAAGUUCUAAGAGUUGACUCUAACAGUCUUGAAAACUACCUCAGGAUAUAUUUUUUCCCUUGAAACAAUGCUGUAAAUGGUGGCCAGAAUCUCAAAUACAUAUCCAAUUGUCCAUAGCAUUGAGGAGGCAUC